rnacentral:lncRNA from 1 species
ACCGCUAAAAAAUGCCUAGGCACAAAGGCUUCCUCUUCAUCCUUGUGCCUGGCAUUGGACUCUUGGGAACUCUACUAUAAGAAAGAAGAGUCAGAGGACUAGCUCCUUGCUGAGUUUCUUGACUCACCCCUCCUAAAAUAAAAAUAAGAAAGAAAAGCAAAAAUGGAAAGGGAGAAUGUGGAAACAAGAAGGAAAGAAAUCAAGACCAAAGAGAAAGGAGACUAGAGGACCAAGAUAUGACAUGGGAGCCCAACUUAAACUGCUCAGGUUGGGGAAGAUCGCCAUAGAGUCAUUGGAAAGAGUUUCGAACCUCCAUCAGAGACC